UACGUAGGGUGCAAGCGUUGUCCGGAAUUAUUGGGCGUAAAGAGCUCGUAGGCGGUUUGUCGCGUCUGCUGUGAAAACUCGGGGCUUAACUCCGGGCCUGCAGUGGGUACGGGCAGACUAGAGUGCGGUAGGGGAGACUGGAAUUCCUGGUGUAGCGGUGAAAUGCGCAGAUAUCAGGAGGAACACCAGUGGCGAAGGCGCCACUCUGGGCCGAUACUGACGCUGAGGAGCGAAAGCGUGGGGAGCGAACAGG
rnacentral:rRNA from 1 species